UCUCUCCCUCUCUCUCUCUCUCCGAAUUCGAGAGCGGAGCGGCGCUGCGAGAACUCCAGUGUCGGAAUCUUUCGCGACGGCGUCUCCAUUUCGUUGGGCGCUCCGGCAUGUGUUCCGGCGAGUUGGAUUUCUCGGAGCUCGUGGAACCCUAGAAGGAAGCUAUACCAGUGAUUGAUGUGUACUUUUAAGAACCCGCCCGUUAUCUUCUUAAUUCUUACACUCGUCUUCGAUGCUAUUAUCAGCAGCGCAAGUGUCAGAAUCCCCUGCUCUAAGGACAAGUGGAUGGCAAAGCUGAAUCAGACAGCAGUUCCAUGGUAGAACACAUGAGCUCUUUGCAUCCCAGGUUAAUUCAUACAGCCUAGGCAAAGGCGUCAAACUCUCUUCUUCUAUCAACCACCGAUACAAAAAGAAUAUUACAUAUUUCCCCUUUCCCAUUUCAACAGU